AUUUGGGGAUUGGGCUUAGAGCUUGGUGCCCGUAGCUAACGUGAUAAAUCGACCGCCUGGGGAGUACGGCCGCAAGGUUAAAACUCAAAUGAAUUGACGGGGGCCCGCACAAGCGGUGGAGCAUGUGGUUUAAUUCGAUGCAACGCGAAGAACCUUACCUACUCUUGACAUCCUAAGAAGAGCUCAGAGAUGAGCUUGUGCCUUCGGGAACUUAGAGACAGGUGCUGCAUGGCUGUCGUCAGCUCGUGUUGUGAAAUGUUGGGUUAAGUCCCGCAACGAGCGCAACCCUUAUCCUUUGUUGCCAGCGACUUGGUCGGGAACUCAAAGGAGACUGCCAGUGAUAAACUGGAGGAAGGUGGGGAUGACGUCAAGUCAUCAUGGCCCUUACGAGUAGGGCUACACACGUGCUACAAUGGCGUAUACAGAGGGAAGCGAAGCUGCGAGGUGGAGCGAAUCUCAUAAAGUACGUCUAAGUCCGGAUUGGAGUCUGCAACUCGACUCCAUGAAGUCGGAA
rnacentral:rRNA from 1 species